UAUAUGGUGAGAGGGAGGUACGCACCAGGGGCCUUAAAUUUUUCUAAACUCUGAGUUCUCACGCGGCCGACGUUGCUCUCAUGCAGAGAUUUGUUGAUAAUACGGCAGACACUGAGACCACAUUCAAAGCAUUAGAGCCCAGCUCAGUAUUUCAUUAUUUACCAACACAUCUUAAAAUAGAGAUUUCGGUAUAUAUAAUUUCAUUGCGUAGACUUCAGUGUAAGUACAGUGAAAAUUCUCACCGCCAUGCUCUCAUAGUCUGAUAGUCGAGACAUUUUUGUUCGCUCAAGGUCAGUAUCCGCUUAAACAAUUUGACAGUACUCUAAAAGCAAUAACAUAAACCAAAGGAAAAGUGUCCGCUAAAUGGAAUAUCCGGUUAAUAGGGUGUCCUCUAAGGGAGGAGGGAACAAAUAAGUUCAAUAACACACUUCAAACAGGACAAUAAGGAGUAGGAGUAGAAGGCGAUUAUAAGUGUGUACCAUUAGAAAAAGUAUGUUAAAGGUAAAAGGAGGCAUCUAAGACUCUGAAUUAUAUAAAGUCCUGAUCAGCAACCAUAACCAUGGCCGUCUGUUCGUGUAGCUCUCAAAGAUUAAAAAAGAUUUAAGGAACUUUUUUACAACUCUUGUUAUUGAUGUACACUUGAUCGACUUUUGAGUAGACACAAUAAUAACUAAAAACUAAAAACUGAUGAUUACUAUAUGAUUUGGUUGUUAUUACAUAAAAAAACUUAGAAGCUAUUCAAGAAUUUAUUUUUAUAACAAAAUUGUAGAUGCCAGUGCUUAAUUGUUGGCAAUCUGGCUAAUGAAGAUUUACCGUAAGGAAACUUUCACUGCAUUCUUAAUCAGAGUCAACAGCCUAGACAAUAUAUAUAUACUAUGUAGCUACCUGUGUGAGUCUCUGUUAAAAGGCCAUAAAUUUCGAAGGUGUAGAUUAAGUUUGUUUUAUAAUUUUUUAACAGCUCUUUGAAUAAAAUAUACGUUUCUAUAAGCUUUUUCCAUAACUAUUCUAAUAUUAACAGUAUAGCAAUUUAGUAUAAUACAUUUUAAGUACAUGCAUAAAUAACAUACUACUAUGUAGGAGGGGCUAAUUAUACUUAGUGUAUAAAACAAUAUUGUACACAUAUAAAUAUGAACUAAUUGCUUUUAUUUCCUCCUGAUAAGAAACAACUUUAAUCGUGAAUUCAAAUUUGUUUGAAAGCAAAAACGAUGUUCUCGUCUCGAUAAGCGCACAAACGUCUCAUUGUUCAUUUGUGACAGAAAAAAUUACAGUUCACAAAAAUAUUGCUUGAUUGGGUUUAAUAAAUGAAAGUACACAAAGUUCAUUUGAGUUAUAUUUUUAUUGAGUAACGACAAAGUUACAAUCGUAUCUUUAAACACAAAUAAGAAAGAAAGGCUACAGCCGAGCAAAUGCUACGCGUGAAUUACACCAGGGAAACGACUUUAGCGCUAAAAUAUUCCGAAAUAAAAACAGAAGGAAGCAUCUUCGACUCCAUAAAUAUAAUGAAACCUUCCUUAGCGGUCAACUCUGUUAAGCCGACUACUUUAAACGACAGUGUGUAUCCAUUCGAAAAAGAUUACCCCUAAAGAUUACGGCUAAAAUAGCGACCUGUAAUGCAUAAGGUGUAUGAGCAUACGAAUUAUUAUUAAAGAAUUUAAUAUUUUAAGCCAAUCAUAAGUGGAUUUGAUUUGUAUUUAGUAAUUAUCAUCAUAAAACAAGAUUUCAU